AUGAAUCGGGCACUGGCGGACUGCAAAACACGGCAGAACAUCCAGAAGCUGGUAAAGGGUGGUUUCAUCAUCAGGAAGCCUCAGAAGAUCCACUCCAGGUGUCGUGCAAGGAGGGCACAUGAGGCCAAGCAGAAGGGCCGUCACUCUGGAUAUGGUAAGCGUAGUGGCACCAGGGAGGCUAGGCUCCGCACCAAGAUCCUAUGGAUGCGGAGGAUGUGCGUCUUGAGGCGUCUUCUGCGCAAGUACCGUGAGGCGAAGAAGAUCGACAAGCACAUGUUUCAUGACAUGUACCUGAAGGUCAAGGUAACAUGUUCAAGAACAAGAGGGUCCUCAUGA
rnacentral:rRNA from 1 species